UACGUAGGGGGCAAGCGUUGUCCGGAAUCAUUGGGCGUAAAGAGCGUGUAGGCGGCUCGGUAAGUCCGCUGUGAAAGUCCAGGGCUCAACCCUGGAAUGCCGGUGGAAACUGUCGAGCUAGAGUCCGGAAGAGGCGAGUGGAAUUCCUGGUGUAGCGGUGAAAUGCGCAGAUAUCAGGAGGAACACCAAUGGGCGAAGGCAGCUCGCUGGGACGGUACUGACGCUGAGACGCGAAAGCGUGGGGAGCAAACAGGAUAGAUACCCCGUG
rnacentral:rRNA from 1 species